GGUCCAAGCGUUUCAGCAAGGGGAAGAAGUCAGCGAUGUUGGGUCUCCCUGCCCACUCCAUGACCCCGUUCAUGGCUUGAAAGAACUCGUGCCCGUCCUUGGACUUGAUGUCCACGACAUCGCGUGACAGCGUGAUGUUGCCGAUAAGGUUGAAUGCCAUGCAAAAUAGGAAGUGGGGCAGUUCCACUUCCCCUGCUCUUCCCUCCGCACCUGACUUGGCCGCAUCCUCCUCAAUCCACCGGAUCAUGUCGUCGACACACUUCCUCCGAAGGGAACCCAUUUCAUUGAUCCGCUUGUUGACUAGGAGUUCACUGGCGCAUACCUUCCGGAUCAUUCGCCAGUAUGGGCCAUAUUUGCCGAGAGCCAUCGAACCUUGGUCGUAGUUGUGUGCGGUCAACGUAAAUGGAACGUUGCGGUCGGAGAAAGGGAGGUCAUGAUUCUUAAAAAGUUCAGCCGCAGCCUUGGCAGACUGUACGACCAUGGUGUUUAUGGCCCCAAGCUGUAACCAAAGAACAGGUCCAUGCUGAGGUCGAAGCCUGUGAAGGGUCUGGUGCGGCAGGGUUCCCAGAUCAAAUAUGUUGCCAAAAAUAGGCCAUCCUUGGGGACCUGGAGGUGUAGAUUUGGUUGAACCUUUUGUGAAUUUGAUCAAUCUCAGGAAAAGUAGUAGAGCUGCUGAGAAGAAACAGCUCCAGAAAACAAUGGAAGCGGUGGACAACUCCAUUUUCGUCUCAGCUUGUGUUCUCCUCUUUGGGCCACCCCAAACAACGUGCACACCAUAUAAGUUUUUUUUCCCUUAUAAAACAAACUUAUGACGUGUAGGGGAAAAGACAGUUAAUAUUCAAAGAUAUUAUUUGAUUAGUACCAUUUUUCAAAAUGAAUUGUUGAAGUACUUUUCUCUUUUAACCUUUCUCCUUUUCAUUUAUUACCUUUCUGAAAACGAAGAUUUGUUUUUUAUAUUUUGUCGUGCAAUGAAUGAACAUUUUUACUAUUUUGAUACUUUUUGGUACAACUUAUUAAGCCUUUACCAACCUUACUCACAUAUAGAUUCAACUUACUAUUAUUAAAAUAAAAUAAUUCACGUCCUUUCUAAAUUCCCACAUGUCUUGCUCCCUCACCUUGCAUUGGAUUCUUCCAUCCCCACUAAUUUUAACACCUUAUAAUUCAUAUUUUUUUAAUAGAAAAAUACAGAGUCGAGCAGUACCACAUGCUUUGCCUUUUUAUUUUAUUUUUUUGGAUUCUGUUUCAAAGGAGAUUAUCUUGGUUAUAUACAUCAACCUAAAUAAACUUUUAUAUUAAAUCAAAGAUUAUUGAAUUAAAAGCGAUGAAAUCAUCUCGAUUUGCAAAUCUAAUCCUUCAUUUUUUUUUAUUAUAAAACAUACAUUUUUUGAAUAAAAAUAUAUAUAUUUAUAAUAAAAAUUAAUUUUUUUAAUCAAAAUACAUAUAGAGAUACAAAUGAUGAUCGCAUUGAUUUGACUAUUAUUUAAUUAAUUGUCUUACAAUUAUGUGCUUUUUAUCUUAUUUUAAAAAUAUUAUUAAAAUAAAGAAUAAUAACAAUAUAGUAAGAAAUUGUUAUUAUUAAAAUAUUAUUAAAAAUACCCUUUUGUCUAUUUUUUUGAGAUUUGUACAUGAUGAGGUCGGGUCUUCAAAAGAUCACAAGAUUCUUUUGGUAUUUGAUGUGAGCUUAUCCAGGAGCAAGCUUAGGUCUCGUUCUAUCUUAAGAAUAAUGAUAAAGAUAAGUCUUUUGUGUUUGAUACCACACUUUUACCAAGGGUUUGAUGUUUGUUGAUUAGGCUUCAGUAUUUUUUUCCUUUUUCUCCUACUUGUAAGCGUUGGAGGCCGACAAAGAUCAAUUUACCAUAUUUGAGAAUUAGGUCAAGGUUGGCACCAUGAUCGAAGUAGCUUGGGAAUCUCUCAAGUUAGUAGUCAAAAAAAUCAAAUGGUGAUGCAAAUCUUCUUACCUCACUUGUGGGUAUAAGGUUGACAUACCUUCGUGUUAGGAAUUCUGAUUAAAUAAGGUUGAGCCUUCUGGCGAUGGGGGCAAAAAAAACAUGACCCUAUUGAGCUUGUUAUGACUUCUCUAUCAAAGUCCCGAUGAUUUAUGGUGUUAUCUAUUUUGUUUUUUGUCUAUUAUAAUGGGUCAGACAUAUCACUGCUAAGACAUUAAUUUAUAGACAAAUGUGAAGCUCUGAUCCUUGUUAUUAUUAAUUAACCCAAUGAGCAUGGGGAUUUGGAGGAAGAUGGUUUUUCAAUGUUGCAAUAUGGCCAAACUUGAACUUAUGCAAAACCCUACUCCAUGUUUUUAGGUUGAGCUUAUCUUCAUUCUUGAUUUUUUUUUUUUUCAUAAUCUAAUUGCAUACCUACCGUCUUUUUUCUUUUUUUUACUAUAGAAUAUAUGUCAACAUGGGCUAGUACCUCUUUAGUUGUCGCUCCUUGUUUAUUCUGUAGUACUAUUACAAGGAUCCUUGUUCAUUCUUGAGUAUUAUUACAAGAAAAUAAUCCUUCUCUAUGCACCCUAAUGUACUUCACAACUUUCUUAAUAACCUUAUGGAUUUGGAAGACUAUUGACUUUAGCUGCCAACCCUUCGCUCGUAGCCAGCACCCACCUAAGGCAAAGGUCGAAAUGGAUGGCAAGCUAGAAUUGCCGAUAAAUGUCCUUGAAUGUGAUGCUUAGCCACCUAGAUAAUUUUGGCAUAGAUGUAUUUUAACAAGCUUUCUCCUAGAUUUUUCAUAUUUUUCACACAAAAAUGAAAUAGUAAAUUUUUUUAAUAAAUUAAUUAAUUUUAACUAUCCUAUUUUCAAAUUCUAAUGAAUGAAAUAUAAAAACUAUUAAGAUAAUUUUUUUGACUAGUCUUUUUAUUUCUUUAGUAUAUUAGUUAAAUACAUGCGAAACAUAAAUUUAUAAAUAAAAUUAUAAAUAUUUUGAAAUAAAAAGAUAAUAGAUUAAUUAAUCUCUGGUGUAGAUUGCAAUUCGUUGUCAUCAGAUAUAAGUAAGAUUCUAAUAGAAUUGAUCUCCUUAAAAUUGUUCAACAAUAAUCCGAGUCUGGCUCACAUCGACUGUUGGUUGUAUCAUCUUAAGUUCCGACUAAUUUUGUGCUUGGCCCAUGCAGUUUUCAUGCUCUUCUCCAAGCCUGGAUUUUAGGUGAUACGGAACGGAAUAGUUUCCAUCAAUCUUACUGGCCCUGAUGUAGCUUAUUUUAUUCCUUCCAUGAUGAACUAUUUCACAAAAUUAAAUUCCUUACUCGUGAAAUGGUAGUAAUUCCAUCACUACGUGACUGGAUCAUGGGGUCCAGUCACUUUAUUUAAAAAACAAAAAAAUUAUACAUAUGCCGGCACAGAGAUCAUAGAAUCCUCCAAAUCUCGUGUUUAUACAUAGAUGAACAGAGACUUACCUUUUGGAGGGACUUGAGCCAUAACAUGGAUUCCUAGAGUAAAUUUGUGGCUCAAUGCUAUGUAAGCUUUUUAGGUACUGCUUUUAAUGGCUGUGACUUGCGCAUUACCAACCCCCACUUCUCUUUCAUGUCCAUGGUCUCGGGGGUGACAUUGCCCUUGAGUUGCCAGUCAAAAUGGUGAAGUAACGUCCCUAGAACAAGGUGCAACACUCGAUGAGCUAAUGGAAUCCCUGCACAAAUCCUUCGCCCUGCACCAAAUGGGAUCAGCUCAAAAUUUUGUCCCUUAUAUUCUAUUUUUUUGGAAUCUAGAAACCUCUCAGGCUUGAAAGAUGAUGGGUCUUCCCAGGAACCCGGGUCUCUUCCGAUGGCCCUAGCAUUCACAAGAACUUGAGUAUCUUUUGGUAUAUGGUACCCCAUGAAGCUGGUAUCUUGAAUUGCACUCCGUAGAAUUAGGAAUGGGAUUGGAGGAUGUAAUCGUAACGUUUCUUUCACCACGGCCUGUAAAUAUUGGAGCUCAUCAAUGUCGCUCUCUUCAACAUUCCUAUCUGCUCCGACGACUCGAGCAAGCUCAUCUUUCACCUCCGACAUUGAUUUGGGGUUGCGUAGUAGCUCCGUCAUUGCCCAUUCAACAAUGCUGCUACUGGUUUCUGAUCCCGCCAAAAAUAUUUCCUGCAUUACAUCCCACUAGUAAAAUAUAUUUUCCAAAUCAUUCAAGAAUUUUUUUUGGGUGUAAUCAACCAUCGCAACAAAAGCAAGAAAAGGUAAUGAAUAUUACCAGUAUAAAUAUAAUGACGUCGCGGUCUGAGAUUUUAGCGGGCUCGUCCUUACCAUUUCCUUCAAACUCCAGCAGCACAUCCAGAAAGUCCUUUCUCUUGGUCCCUUCCGUUCUCUGUUUUUUCAUGCGCUCAUUGACGAAUCCAGAAGCCAUUUCCAUAGCUUUUCCUAGGUCACGCUCCAUGUUCUUCCUUAGUCCCUGCAGGUCCAGCCAUCCAAGCCAUGGGAAAAAGUCAGACAGGUUGGGAUGGCCAGACCACUCCGUUAGAUUACUCAUUAUGGUGAAAAACUCCGAACCCUCUUUGGAUCGCAAGUCCUAUUUGUUCCUCCUAUUUUGAGUUGAAUUGUUAUGUUGGCAUCCUCAAAUUUUAUUUGUAUAAAGAAUGAAUUUAGAACUCACAGCCACAUCCUUGUAAAGAAUAGCAGUGGACCAUUAAGCUCGCCUUCGUCCUAUUAAUGGUUUAUAUUCAGAAUAUCUAUCCUUUAGCAUACUCGUUGAUUUAUCAUAUAGCAUUAUAAAUAGAAUAUUUCAUGAAGGCUUGACCUUUUUUUGUUAAGAACAACGCUAUUUGUUGCGAAUACCUUUGCUGAAUGGGUGUGCUGAAACACUCGAUGGCAUUGCGCAUAAUUUUGUACAAAAUUAAUGGCAUUUUGCCCAUGUGAGUAGUGAGCAAAGCUAUUGGGCAUCUACUCUGGGCGAUGACAAAAGUAUCGAUACAUUGUGAUAUAUCGACGGAAAUAUUGGUAAUUACGGGCAUAUCCACGAUAUAAGUAAUAAAUAAAAAUAUUUUGUGUCAAGAUGUACCAAUAUUUUAAAAUCAAAAUCAUAAAUAUGAUUUAAUCACAUAAUUAGUACAUUUACAAUAAUUUAAUUUUAAAUUAAUGAUUUAAAUUUAAUUUGAUAUUCAAGUGUAAUAAUAGUCUAUUAAGAGAAUAUUAACUUAGUACAUUUUUAAAUUAGUAUAACAUUAAAUUUAAAUAAAUACAUUUUUACAAUUAAUUAAUAUGUUAUUAAUAAAUAAAUUAACUUAGUAUAGUAAUAUAUUUUAAUCACAUAAUUAGUAUGUUUGUAAUAAUUUAGUUUUAUAAUGAGUGCACCCUUACAAAAUUCACUUUUUUUUUUAUUAAUCGAUGUGAUAUAAUUAAAUUUAAUAUUACAAGUCAUAUCAUACAUAUAUUGAUUUUUUCAAUAAAAUAAUUUUAAAAUAUUUAUUAUACUUCUUAUUUUAUUUCUAAGAGUUUUUUUUUUUUUUUCACAUUUUCAUGAGUUUUAAUUAAUUUUUUUAUCUUAAAAUAUCUAUCCAUAUAUUUUUAGUAUAUCUGUAAAAUCCAAGUACUAAUUAAUAUAUUCACGAUUACUGAUAUUUUCAUCCUUAUUACGUGCAAAUAGCAAUGUUUUUCUCUUUAACAUUAAGCCAAGAAUGUUUUUUUUGUCUUAGCAAUUAACAUGCUAGUGCUAUUGUAUAAUUUUUUUAAUUCAUAAUUUAUGCCAGCAUUUCAUGCUAUCAGUGUAGAACUGUGAGUAUACAUAGCUUAGUGUUGUCUGGUUGGUAACCAUAAUUCAGGCUUGUAGAUUAUUUUGCAUCUUCUCCCGUUUCAUGGGAACUAUAUUUGUACUGAAUAACUGAAUAUCAUAAUUAGUCUCGUUUUCCUGGAAAUCUCUGAUCUCUUUCCAUCCUAUCAAAUUACUCAAACCUAAACAAUUCUAUGGCCUUGGCUGACGAUAUGUGUCCCAUGCCGAAGGAGAGCAGAAUCUGUUCGAUUUUUAAAUUACUAGUAUAUACAUUGAUUCAUUUGUAAUUUAUAACCCAAAAAUGAAAUGAUUUAGCAUCCUUUUCUACUUCUCCUUUCACCUUUCCCCUUCUCAUUUGAAUUUCUCUUCUUUAAAAUGAAGCUGUAUUUGCUACAGUCAUUAUUUUUUUGAAAGGACUUACACAUGGAAAAUUAAAGUGUUAAGAUUACGUUAGACCGAUGAAACGACCCAUUUCUAUUGGGUGAUGCAUAAUGACUACGCCUUAGGAGUUUAAUGGAUUUGCAAUUACCGUUGAUGGAUUGGAAACCCAUUUAGAAACAUGGGUUUGUUUUACCCCAUGUUGCUUUACAUUUACCUAAAAUCUCAAGUAUAUACCUGUAUCGUGUCAAAAAUUAUUAAAAAUUCAUACUAUAAAUACACUGAAUUUUCAAUUAAUUCUCUUUUGAAAUAUUUUCAAACAUUAAUAUUUCAUAAAAUUUCCACUUAUCAUUUUCUCAUUAGAUUGAUUGAUAAUUAUCCAUAACAUAAAAGAUGCUCUUUAAAUUUGGUGUUAGUUUGAAGUAUAUCUGUUUAAACAAAUGAUUUGUGUAGGUGAUAACACGAGUAUUAGAAAUAUCUUUAUAAACGAGUGACUCAUAUUGGUAUUCAAUAAUGGCAAUCAUGGUAUCAAAAUGGGAAUAUUUUGUUAUGACAAUUUCAAAUGUUAUUAUUGUCUUUUUUAUUUUAAAGUGACAAGUCAAUUACAAUUUGAUUUGAUAAAUAAAUCAAAAGGUUAAAGUAAUUGCAUAAGAAAAUGAAAUAAAGAAAAAUUGAAAAGCAUCAAUCAAGCCCUUUUCGCUUUAACUAUGGAGCAUGUCUUUUUCCUUGUUUUUCCAUUGUGUAAAAUCAUCAUGUUGAUUAAUAGUAUAUGUAGGAAGAAAAAAAUAUUGUAUAUUACUUUCACGCUUGGAAUCAAUAUUUUGAAAGACAGUUGCAACUUAUAAAGCUUCAAUGAAACAAAACACUGAAACACAAAACUUGUUGGAGUCUUGGAGCUCGUUGUUUCUUUGAAGGACUCCAACCAGAGUAAGGUCGAUACCACUAAAUACUAUCUUGCAGUUGGACUUGGUACAUACAUCUAUUUCAGUGGUCAAUGUCAAGUAAAAUGAUCUUGGUUUUUGAAAGGUGACGGGUAGUCAACUUAUAAACUUUGCUGAAAUUUUUAUAACGGCUUUAAAUAUUUAAAUUUUAUGCUUUCUUUUUGUGUAAUAACAAUUCUCAAUCUAUUUUUUAUUUUUUAUUGUUAUAACCUAAAUUAUUUCUUGAGUUCAAUACAUAUUCUUGGUAGUAAGGGAAUAGGCACAGUCAUGUUUCUUAUAUUCUUAACAUGCAUUAAAAUGUUUAGUUAGAAUUUGCAAAUUACUUCUUGAAUAACACACAAAUUGGGAGUUGGUUUGAUACUGUUAAUUUGUGAAUUCUGGAUUUAUUACCAUGUGUAUGUAUGAAUCACUUGAUUAGUUCAGCAUUGAUCUUAGUCCUCAAGUCUCCGAGAUCUCAACUUUUAAAUUCAUACCAUAACUUGAUGACGAUUUUUUGGUUCAUUUAUCUGCAUGGAGAUUUAGUGAAUGAAAGCUUAUUGGGACGGAUACUAUUGAUGACUUUAACUUUUCUAUUUGACAGCCAACUUCUUGAGAGGUUUGUCAGUAUAGAGUGGGAGAUCUCAUCUCACAGAUUGAAAGCUCUAUUCAAUCUAAAGAAUUGGGAAACACCCAUGGAGCAGACCAAAUUGAGGAUGGUAAUCUAAGAACUUAGUUUUUUAAUUAACAAAUUUGACCAUUGAUGCUUGAAGCUUGUUCAUAUCAUGUCCUGAGAGUUAAAAAUAAUAAUAUUUUUUUCCCCUGAAUGUGUUUAUUUGAGUCGAAAUAAAGCUUAUGCUCUUACUGCAAACNNNNNNNNNNNNNNNNNNNNNNNNNNNNNNNNNNNNNNNNNNNNNNNNNNNNNNNNNNNNNNNNNNNNNNNNNNNNNNNNNNNNNNNNNNNNNNNNNNNNAAUCAAUAUUUUGAAAGGCAGUUGCAACUUAUAAAGCUUCAAUGAAACAAAACACUGAAACACAAAACUUGUUGGAGUCUUGGAGCACGUUGUUUCUUUGAAAGACUCUAACCAGAGUAAGGUUGAUACCACUAAAUACUAUCUUGCAGUUGGACUUGGUGCAUACAUCUAUUUCAGUGGUCAAUGUCAAGUACAAUGAUAUUGGUUUUUGAAAGGUCAACUUAUAAACUUUGCUGAAAUUUUUAUAGCGGCUUUAAAUAUUUAAAUUUUAUGCUUUCUUUUUGUGUAAUAACAAUUCUCAAUCUAAUUUUUAUUUUUUAAUGUUAUAACCUAAAUUAUUUCUUGAAUUCAAUACAUAUUCUUGGUAGUAAGGGAAUAGGCACAGUCAUGUUUCUUAUAUUCUUAACAUGCAUUAAAAUGUUUAGUUAGAAUUUGCAAAUUACUUCUUGAAUAACACACAAAUUGGGAGUUGGUUUGAUACUGUUAAUUUGUGAAUUCUGGAUUUAUUACCAUGUGUAUGUAUGAAUCACUUGAUUAGUUCAGCAUUGAUCUUAGUCCUCAAGUCUCCGAGAUCUCAACUUUUAAAUUCAUACCAUAACUUGAUGACGAUUUUUUGGUUCAUUUAUCUGCAUGGAGAUUUAGUGAAUGAAAGCUUAUUGGGACGGAUACUAUUGAUGACUUUAACUUUUCUAUUUGACAGCCAACUUCUUGAGAGGUUUGUCAGUAUAGAGUGGGAGAUCUCAUCUCACAGAUUGAAAGCUCUAUUCAAUCUAAAGAAUUGGGAAACACCCAUGGAGCAGACCAAAUUGAGGAUGGUAAUCUAAGAACUUAGUUUUUUAAUUAACAAAUUUGACCAUUGAUGCUUGAAGCUUGUUCAUAUCAUGUCCUGAGAGUUAAAAAUAAUAAUAUUUUUUUCCCCUGAAUGUGUUUAUUUGAGUCGAAAUAAAGCUUAUGCUCUUACUGCAAACUGCGGACCCAAAAAAGUGAAACUAUGAAAAAUAAGAGUAAUACAUUUUUGAGAGACUUAUACCAACCCAAAAAUCCUUGAUAAUUUUCAGUCUCAGACCGUGGGCUUUUCGGGUAACUUCUGAUGGUUGAGACUGCAUCGUCACUGACAUGCACCUGUCUGCCAAAUUUAGUAGGUUUUUUUGGGAAGAUAUCCCAUUCAAGAUCCCAAUCAAAACGGUGGAGCAACAACCCCAGGAGGACAAGAUGCAUCACUUUAUGAGCUAGUGUCGACGGAAUUCCUGCUAAAGAUGCCAUCAGCACAAAGCCGUCUCCCUACUGUUUGUCAGAGUCUAUAAACCUUUCUUCUUUUAUUUUUUAUUUUUUAUUUUUUAUUAUUUUGAUAUCUCCAUCCUAAGAAUCUGCUUAAAAUUCCCCAAGUCCUUAAACUCAAGUUCUGAGCUUACAGUAAAAGCAGAAAUAAAUUGAGAAUCAAUUCAGAUACAAGUAACCAUGAUCGGAUGCUUGAUCCGUGAGACAGGAGACCAAAGAGUUACUAACAUUACCAACAAAGCUGGAUCAAUGGAUUACAUAGAGUACAAGAAACAGACCCUUAUGCUAGUCUGUACUCCGAUAUAUCAUCUUAUGCUCCAAAACAUCAUCCUUCUCAUUAAUACCUUUCCACUGAAUUGCAAAAGCAACUUAGCCAUUUUAUUCCUUUUCAUGGGCAUCUCAAACAGUCCUCCUUUUGGGUAUUGGUUUCAGCGGUAUUAAUUUUCUCACCGCCAUUCCUACUCUCUCAUUCAUGUCUAUGGUCUCUGGAGUGACACCGCCGCCAAGCUCCCAGUCAAAACAGUGAAGCAGAGAGGCCAGAGCGAGAGGCAGCAAUUUGUUAGCUAAAGAUAUACCGAUGCAAAUCCGUCGUCCAGAUCCAAAUGGAAUGAACUCAAAAUUCUGCCCUUUAUAGUCUAGAUUUGAGCCCAAAAAUCUAUCAGGCUUGAAAGAGAGAGGCUCUUUCCAAGCAUCCGGGUCCCUUCCAAUCGCCCAUGCAUUGACAAAGACUUGUGUGUUUUUGGGUACGAAAUAGCCCAUGAAGUUUGUGUCUUGUAAUGCAUUUCGUGGAAGCAGUAAAGGAAUUGGGGGAUGCAGUCGUAGAGUUUCCUUCACCACGGCUUGCAAAUAUAGCAGCUGAUCAAUGUCGCUCUCUUCAACCUUCCCAUGUGGUCCAACAACUCGAUCAAGCUCUUCUUGGGCCUUUCUCAUUGACUCAGGUCUGCGGAGUAGCUCUGUCAUAGCCCAUUCGAGCGUACUGCUUGUAGUGUCUGACCCGGCAAAGAACAUUUCCUACAACACCGGUGGACAGUGAGUUCAUAGUUUUCUUUAAAAAUAAUGGGCAAUUUAUAUCUAUUGUGGAUGUAUUGGGCAGAGCAAGUGGGCGUGAAUAGCAUAACUCUUGACAUACCAGACAUAUUGAAUGAGUAAAAAGUCAUUGACAGAGCAGGAUGCUAAAAAAUAUUAGAGUGGUUUGCCAAAUCUAAGGAGAGUAAACAGAGAUUGAAUAUCUGUUACCAGUACGAUUAUUUUCACUUUGUUGUCUGACAUCUCAUGGGGACCUUCUUUCUCAUCAUCUCUGCACUCUAACAACACAUCCAAGAAAUCUCUCUUCUCCCUCACCAUCCCAGACUGCCGCUCCUCAUCUCUCUCCUUCACAAACCUCGCAAUUAAAUUGAGGGCUUGUCCCAUGUCUCGGACCAUGUUCCUCAUCAUCCCCAGCGGGUCCAAGCGUUUCAGCAAGGGGAAGAAGUCAGCGAUGUUGGGUCUCCCUGCCCACUCCACGACCCCGUUCAUGGCUUGAAAGAACUCGUGCCCGUCCUUGGACUUGAUGUCCACGACAUCGCGUGACAGCGUGAUGUUGCCGAUAAGGUUGAAUGCCAUGCAAAAUAGGAAGUGGGGCAGUUCCACUUCCCCUGCUCUUCCCUCCGCACCUGACUUGGCCGCAUCCUCCUCAAUCCACCGGAUCAUGUCGUCGACACACUUCCUCCGAAGGGAACCCAUUUCAUUGAUCCGCUUG
rnacentral:lncRNA from 1 species